UCCGUCGAUUUUUAAAAUCGUGAGGGUUCAAGUCCCUCUAUCCCCACAAA
rnacentral:tRNA from 6 species